rnacentral:lncRNA from 1 species
GUGUGUGUGUGGUGUGUGUGUGUGUGGUGUGGUGUGGUGUGGUGUGUGUGUGUGUGUGUGUGUGUGUGUGUGUGUUGGGGUGGUGGUGGUGGUGGUAGGAGAUAGAGAAGCCACAUGCUGUGAUGCUUUAGGGAUAUGGAUGCUGAUGCAGGGCCAAGGCAUACAGAGGGACAGUGCCUAGGUUCUAGAGUUGACCAGGCUAUACAUCCCAGUCCUGGUUCCAUUGACCUCUUCCCAGUUGUGAAACCACUGGUGACGUUCCUAGUGCCUUCUGUUUUUUUAUUGUUUAAUUUGCAAAACGUGUAUAUUGAUCAUACUGUCUUCCCAGAUUUGUGGGGAAGUUUAAAAGAGGCAAUGCAAAUCGAUGCCUGUUCUUGGAAAAAGCAUGCCUUACUUGAAACUCCUUUCACUACAUCACUUAGUAUUUCAGCCACUCCUUAAUUGGGAAAAGCCAGGGCUCCAUGUUAGCCUUUUCUGAAGUCUACCCAGUUGUAUAUUGGUCUCUUAGGAUACUGAUGGAUGCAGGGUUAAAGGGGAUUUAGUAGUCAAAUUAACUAAGGACACGGGGUAGGGUCAGUGCCCUUAGGUAGCUUUCUUUAAUGUGGGUUUCUAGCCUAGUGCAGCGUGAUUCCUGACCCUCCAUAUGGGGCUAUGAACUACAGCUUCAUCUAAGCAUACUUGACUUCCAGGCCUUUUCCACUGAAGUUCUCAUAGGUGACAACCUCAGGGUGUCUUGUGGGGAAAGCUGCCAUAGGUAAAUCAAUCCAUACUUCUAAGUAUUUGUUCACCCUCAGACACCGUGGAAGGGCAACAGAAGAAAAUGUCAUGAUCUUGCCUUCAAGUUUCUGAGAGGCUUGUUAGGAGAAAACAGAGCCAAAGCGUUCUGAGGACAGACAUCACUCUAAAUUUGGAGCCAGGAUGCUCUGAGUCAAAUAAAAAUGGCUCCUGUAUGGGGUACAAUAUGGAGUGGAGGGGACUCAGGCAAACAGGAGUGUGCAGGACAUUCUAAAGGGGGAACUAUCAACUUAACUGUGACCCAUUAUGUUAUUUUAGCUUUCUGUUGCUUGACGGAUACCAAGGACAAAAUAUUUUAAAAGAGAACAAAUUUGUUAUGACUUAUGGUCUCAGAGUUUCCAACCUACUGUCAUCAAUCUCCCUUGUUUCUGGUCUGUGGACAGAUAGAAUAUCUUGGUGGAAGGGUGUGGUGAAACAGGGCAGCUCUGAAUCAUGGUCACCUGGAAGCAGAGACAGAAAGGGCCAGUCAUUCUUCAUUGGCACAUGAGCCACUUUCAUACUGUGGUGGUUUGAAUAUGCUUGGUCCAGGGAGUGGCACUAUUUGGAGGUGUGGCCUUGUUGGAGUAGGUGUGGCCUUGUUGGAGUAGGUGUGGCCUUAUUGGAGUAGGUGUGGCCUUAUUGGAGUAGGUGUGGUCUUAUUGGAGUAGGUGUGUCACUGUGGGCAUGGGCUUUAGGUCCCUCAUCCUAGCUGCCUAGGAGCCAGUCUUCUCCUAACUGCCUUCAGAUGAAAAUGUAAAACUCUCAGCUCCUCCUGCACCAAGCCUGCCUGGAUGCUGCCAUGCUCCCACCUUGGUGGUAAUGGACUGCAACUCUGAACCUGUAAGCCAGUCCCCAUUAAAUAAGAGUUGCCUCUGUCAUGGUGUCUGUUUUCAGCAGUAGAACCCUAACUAAGACACUUACUGUAGCAAAGCCACAGCUCCUAAACUUUCUGCUUUUAGCUGCUUACAAAGCCUUCAACCCCUGAGCCCGUGCAGAUAUUUCAUAUUCAAACUCUAACGGCCACCACUGCCAGGUAAGGAUGUGAGUUUAGGAUUGCCAGAUCUUUUGAACAUUCACAAGAGUUGAAUAGUCUGGGUUUUUUUAAAUGCAAAAUAUACCACACUUAUAAAAAUCCUUAAGAAUAUAACAGAAGAUGAACACAGUGUAUCUGUGAACCAGAUUUAGCCCACAUAGCUUUAUUUUGCAAUCUUUGGUCUUUGCCAGUCAUUCUCAGGUGGGAUUUAUUUGUUCCUUGGGACAUCUGCCAAUGCCCCGGUAUGUAUUUUGUUACAACUGGCAUUACAGGCAACUAAGGGGCAGAGGCUGCUAAAUACCCUUGUCAAUAGAAAACAGUUUAUACAUCUAUGAUCUUAAAAGUGCCCAAGGGAAAAGAGCUCACUCUAAGCCACAGGGCCUUAGAUGUUGGGAAUGUGUGACUCUGUGGUUUUAGUCUUCCUGCCUGUGUGACUUUGGAAAUGUCCUUGUUCUGGUUGGUAAAAGAAGAUGCUUGGACUAAUUGAUGCUCCAGGGACUUUCCAGCCCAGGGCCUGAGGUCAUAUCGGUCCUCGUGUUGGCAGUGACCUAGCACAAAGGCUCUGUACAGAAAUGUCAUUGAUGGGAAAUUAUAGCUAUAGAUGAGACAACAGGCUAGGAGUGUCCCCACCCCAGAACACUGUUUGUCCUUGGGAUGAAUCCCGAAGCUUCUUUCGCUCAAAUCUCACUCAAGACAUUGGAAAAAAAAUUGAAGCUGAUGUUGAAAGGCUCCUAAAUCAUCCUGUAUAAUUUUUGUUUUUAGAAACCGUUCAUGUUUUCAAUGGGGAGAAGAGAAAAAUGAAAGGACAUGCUCUAAUUGAAUAUACUGGUCCUUCUGAGCAGAGACAGCCCUUCAGAUAUGGACUUGGAGUCUCAGCAUUGUGUGCGUGCGUGUCUCUGUAUCUCCUUGGCUGUCAUGAGUCAAGUGCUUCUCUUCUCUUUGGGGUUAUUCGAUUGUUCCCACAAUUGAAUGUCAGAUGAGGUACACAGAGAAAGGGUGAUGCUCACACCAAGAGAAUCGGUGAUGGACAGAAGACAGAGGAUGCAGUUUCUGGGCUUCUUGGCUCACACCUAGCUCACUGCUGAGCAUACUCAUCUCCAGGCGGCCUGAGUGUCUCUCUGGCUGCUGGCUUAGUUUGGGACUGUAGAACACCAUAAACUGAGUGGGCUCAUCUUUAUAAAUAAGAAAGAUCAUGGUCCCACAAGCUGGGAAUCGAAGAUGAAAGUGGCAGCGGAAUCGAUGUCUCUUGGCAGCCUCUCUCCUGAUCUGUACAUAGCAUGGACUUUCAGGCUUCACCCUUCUGAGGUAGAAGGAUGGAGGGGGUCUAUGUGAGUACUGCUUAUAGGGAUCCCAACUUCAAUUGCAUUGCUUUAACAAAAACAUUCUGGCCAAACAAACCUCCUGGAUAAGGUUUAUUUGGCUUAAAAUUCCAGGACGUAGUCCAUCAGAGAGGAGAAAUCAAGGCAUGAACUCAAAGCAAUCAAUCGCAUCACAUCCACAGUGAAUCAAAUGGGCUGUUUCUGCUCAGCUGGUUCUCUUCACUACCACACAGGCAGGGUCCAGUGCAUGGUGAAACGGUGCUACUAGUGUUCAGGGUGGAUCUUCCCACCACAGUGAUCAAUCAAGACAGUCCCUCAGAGACCUGCCCUCUGAUCAUCUUGAUCUAGACAAAUCUUCAACUGAGGCUCCCUGUUCAGGUCAUUCUAGGUUGGGACAAGCUGUCAGUUAGAAGCUAAGCCGUCACAGAGAGUAACCCCACUCGAGAAAAACCUUAGUCACCCCACAGUGUCCCACUGCCACAGGCAGUCACCUCGGGGAUGAAGGUUUUCAAUACAUAAUCUGGUAAUAUUUAAUCUUCUGUAUCACUCUUAUUGGCACCAUACCCUCUUUUUAAAUACGCUACAAGAUUUUUCUAACUGGGAUAUGUUUCUUUCUGAGCUUCUGGGAACAAGACAGGGCUGCUUUUUCAGGAUUUCUGGAUAUGGACCCCACCAGCCUUCUGAGACUAUGUAUGACUUAAUUUAUUCUGAGGCUGUCAUUCUAUAAGAUCCGAUUCAACAGCAGUGUGCAGGCUGCUACGACAAGCUCUUCUGAAAUGGUAGUGCAAACCUGAGGUUCAAAGGGUCAUGCAUGGCCAAGCAGACCCCUGCCCUGGAUAAAAUAUACCACCUGUAUUUGCUCCUGUGUCCCUGCUAGGCACUGUGACCCAGAGACAUCACAUUUAAACCUUUAUGCCUUCCCUCUUAGGGCAACGAUUGCUCUUCCUGCACCUUGCUGUACCUUUCUCUUUUCAGGUUAGGAAGUUCAGUCCACCAGCAUGAUAGGUGUGUGAGCGAAUACAGGUAGUUUGCGCCAGUUUGACCCGCACAUGCAUUGACAUGCAGAAUGCAGAAUGAAGGGCAAUAAUGACCGGUGGAUAGUCUUGGUUUAGGUUUCCUUUAAAGCAACUGACGCUGGAGGUCAUGCUGACUGGGAGUGGAUACCAGGAAGUACUAUAGCAAAAUGGGGAAGUCAGAUCUAGAAUGAAAGAAAACAGGAAACAGGGAUAUUUUCUGUCUGUCCAUCUGUCUGUUGGUCUUCUUUCUUUCUUCCUCCUUUUCUUUCAAUCAAACAGAUUAUAUCUAUUUAUUUAGUAAGUUAUUUAGUUAGUUAGUUUGUUUUUCAGGCAACACAGCACUAAACAUAUAUUUACUAUAACAAAAUACAUGAACUAUUAAGUGCUACCAAACAAACUAAAUUGUAAGACCUGUGAUCUGUACUUUCAGGAUUUUGUAAUCUACCAUAAACACUCAAGUUUGUUCAUUAUUAAUUUUUGUGUUGGUUAGAGUAGAAAGUCCUAGAAAAUGUUCUUUUAUUGCCUAUAAAUAAUUUGAUCAUGAAUAUAUUGCAAGGUUUAUGGCUAACCAUAUUCUAAGAACUCCAAAUUUCAAACAAUAUAAUGAUAGUACUUGUCAAACCACUUGACCAAGCCAUUAAAAUUACAAUAAAGUUGGGCUGGAAAGAUGGCUCCGUGUUCUUUCAGAGGUCCUGAGUUCAAUUCUGAGCAGCCACACGGUGGCUCACAACCAUCUGUAAUGUGAUCCAAUGCCAUCUUCUGGUGUGUCUGAGGACAGCGACAGUGUACUCAUAU